rnacentral:rRNA from 1 species
AGAAUCAACGCUGGCUGCGUGCCUAACACAUGCAAGUCGAACGAGAAAGGGGAGCAAUCCCUGAGUAAAGUGGCGCACGGGUGAGUAACACGUGACUAACCUACCCUGGAGUGGGGGAUAACUGAGGGAACCUUAGCUAAUACCGCAUAACACCUACGGGUCAAAGGAGCAAUUCGCUUUGGGAGGGGGUCGCGGCCGAUUAGUUAGUUGGCGGGGUAAUGGCCCACCAAGACAGUGAUCGGUAU